ACGGGUGAGUAACGCGUGGGAAUCUACCCUUGACUACGGAAUAACGCAGGGAAACUUGUGCUAAUACCGUAUGUGUCCUUCGGGAGAAAGAUUUAUCGGUCAAGGAUGAGCCCGCGUUGGAUUAGCUAGUUGGUGGGGUAAAGGCCUACCNGGNCGACGAUCCAUAGCUGGUCUGAGAGGAUGNCNAGNNNUAUUGGGACUGNGACACG
rnacentral:rRNA from 1 species